rnacentral:rRNA from 1 species
AGUUUGAUCCUGGCUCAGGACGAACGCUGGCGGCGUGCCUAAUGCAUGCAAGUCGCACGCGCUCCCUUCGGCGGGUGAGUGGCGCACGGCUGAGUAACACGUGGGAACCCGCCCCCCGGUGGGGGAUAACGCGACGAGAGUCGCGCUAAUCCCGCAUACGUCCGCAGGGGGAAAGCGCUUCGGCGCGCCGGGGGAGGGGCCUGCGGCCCAUCAGGUCGUUGGUGGGGUAACGGCCUACCAAGCCGAUGACGGGUAGCUGGUCUGGGAGGAUGACCAGCCAGACUGGGACUGAGACACGGCCCAGACUCCUACGGGAGGCAGCAGCAAGGAAUUUUCGGCAAUGGGCGCAAGCCUGACCGAGCAACGCCGCGUGCGGGAUGACGGCCUUCGGGUUGUGAACCGUUUUUCGGGGGGACGAUGAUGACGGUACCCCCGGAACAAGCCCCGGCUAACUCUGUGCCAGCAGCCGCGGUAAGACAGAGGGGGCGAGCGUUGUCCGGAGUCACUGGGCGUAAAGCGCGCGCAGGCGGUCGCCAAAGUGUCGUGUGAAAGCCCCCGGCUCAACCGGGGGAGGCCAUGGCAAACUCGGCGACUGGAGCGGCGGAGAGGCCCCUCGAAUUGCCGGUGUAGCGGUGAAAUGCGUAGAGAUCGGCAGGAAGACCAAGGGGGAAGCCAGGGGGCUGGCCGCUGGCUGACGCUGAGGCGCGACAGCGUGGGGAGCGAACCGGAUUAGAUACCCGGGUAGUCCACGCCGUAAACAAUGACCACUCGGCGUGCGGCGACUAUUGACGUCGCGGUGCGCCUUAGCUCACGCGCUAAGUGGUCCGCCUGGGAACUACGAGCGCAAGCUUAAACUCAAAGGAAUUGACGGGGG